UACAGAGGUGGCAAGCGUUGUUCGGAAUUACUGGGCGUAAAGAGCUCGUAGGUGGUUUGUCGCGUUGUCCGUGAAAACUCACAACUCAAUUGUGGGCGUGCGGGCGAUACGGGCAGACUGGAGUACUGCAGGGGAGACUGGAAUUCCUGGUGUAGCGGCGGAAUGCGCAGAUAUCAGGAGGAACACCGGUGGCGAAGGCGGGUCUCUGGGCAGUAACUGACGCUGAGGAGCGAAAGCGUGGGGAGCGAACAGG
rnacentral:rRNA from 1 species